rnacentral:lncRNA from 1 species
UUUUUUUUUUUAAGGCCACACCUGCAGCACACAGAGGCUGACAGGCUAGGAGUCAAAUCAGAGCUGUAGCUGCAGGCCACAGCCACAGCCACAGCCACAGCAACACCAGAUCCAAGCCUCGUCUGCGAACUACACCACAGCUCACGGCAAUGCUGGAUCCUUAACCCACUGACUGAGGCCAGGGACUGAAUCUGUAUGGUCAUGGAUACUAAUCAGAUUCAUUUCCACUAAGCCACGACAGGAACCUCCUAACAUAAUUUUUAAAAUAACUGUUUAGCAAAAUUCCUGAAAAUUUAGCAAUUGCCUCUCACAGGCCUGUACACAUGUUUGGCAAGCCAUGAAGGAACCUGUUUUUCUACAGCAUUAUGGAACCAUGGAGUAGCUGCCCACCUCUAACUCAAUCCCAGGAAGUAGAGAAAUCAGGGGCUCCUGUCACACUGGAACUCACGACUCUUCUUUCUCUGUUAGUUUUGUGCAUCCAUAGAUCUUGUUGCUUUGUGGUGCAGCAUCCUCUGUACAAUAUUUCUCAGAGAAUCCAUUUUCUUCUCCAUGUUUCCUCUGUGGCUCACUUUGGUGUUGUAACUUGUUUGUUUCUAUUUCCCUGUUCCUUUCACUCUCAUUGCAGUCUGGCUGUCCUGCAGGUGUCCCCCUUUCCUUUUUCCAUCAGAUUUUCAGCUGCCAUUUUCUACGGUUUUCACCUAUCUUCCUUCUCUUCUUUUUCUAUCAUAGGAGAGGCUUAUAUUUUUAAAAGGGGCCACAGGAAUCUGUGUCUAUCAAGCCAUGAGGAAACCUACAGCAGACUCAACCUUCUGGGGGAAUUUUAUUCCUAAUUUUCUGAUGUUCAAUGCUGCAUUUUAUUUUUAUUAUUAUUUUUUCUUUUUAUGGCUGCACCUGUGGCAUAUUAAGUGCCCAGGCUAGGGGUUGAAUCAGAGCUGUAGCUGCCAGCCUACCUACAGCCACAGUAACGCCAGAUUUGAGCUGCAUUUGCAACCUACACCACAGCUUAGCAAUGCUGAAUCCUUAACCAACUGAGCAAGUCCAGGGAUCAAACCCACAUCUCCACAGACACUAUGUCAGGUUAUUAAUCCACUGAGCCACAAGAACGCCAAUGCUGCAUUUUAAUGAACUAAACAUUGAGAUGGGGGAACUCUACAGGAUGUAUCUUAAAUGAGAUCCUUAGGUGGCUGACCAUUAAAUGGGAUUCCAUUAGUGAGAAAAACAUAGCAAAGGAGGAACUGGUGGAAAAGGUGACCCCAAGGGAACAUCAAUGACCCCACUAGCCCCUGCACUCCAAGAAUGUGAGCUGAUCUCUGCUCAAUUCAGGGUCCAACAGGAAGUCUCUAUGGACUCUUUGGCCUUAAAAGAGUUGAGGGGGGAUUGAGGGUUGCGGGGCAGGGAGACUAGCUCUCCCAUGUGGUCCCUACACCUAGACCUGCCCUGCUGUUAUUCCUGCCCAUUUUCACACACAGCACUCUGCAGCUGCAACCUUCUCACAGAGCUGCAGGUAGGAAAUGAGAUGCAAUAACCUGGCCUCUUAUCUCCAGCCCUAUGUGGAAAUUUAUCUGUCUACCUCCCCCCACCAUGAGUUCAGCUCAUGAAGGGUCUACACAGCAGUUCGCCUGUGCUCUUUUCUCCUAGUUCCCCGCCUUCCAAAAUGUUAACAACAGACUCUCUAGGAAAAAGGCCCUGGUUUGAGGAUUUGCCAACUUCCAUGGUGAACACAUUUCUAUUUUUUUUUUCUAGUGACACCCAUGGCAUAUGGAAGUUCCCAGGCCAGGGAUCCAAUCUGAACCACAGCUGUGACCUAUGACAUAACUGCACCAACACUGGAUCCUUAACCCACUGUGCCAGGCUGGGGAUCAAACCAGCGCCUCCACAGAGGCAAGCCAGAUCUUUAACCCACUGCACCUUAGUGGGAACUCCCUGAACACACACUUUUACCAUGGUUGAUUUUAAGUUACUGAACAUGGAGUUGAGAAGACAUGCCCAUGGUGGGCUCUCAGGAACUGUAUCCUGAGGUCACUAGUUAUUGAUGGCCCAAGCCCAACUUUCAGAAUUUAAAAUCCUGUCUCAAAAACCCAACUCUUACAACAGAAACCUUGACUUUCAAGACUUUCCUUCUUGCUAUGCAUAUAUCUUAUCUAUUUUAGAACUCAGAGUUAAGACUUUGUCUCUUUGUCAGCUCUCUCCUGAGGGCAGAGCAUCUAGGAUCCUACCCCUCUCUCCCCAGCAGUAUGAGAAAGCCAAUAGGUACAAGAAAGCCUGGAGAAUUAUUAUAUCAAAUCAAUUAUUCAAUCAAAAUAUUAUCCAUUACCCACUUACAACUUUUUUUUAGUGUUUGAAAUUAGCAACUGUACUGCUGAUAGAGACUACACUAAGAAAUUUGUAUCAAACUUGGUAUGAAAUUAAAGGAAAGGCCAGCCACUAAGCCCUCUCUGUGAAUGAAGGAAGGAGGGAGGGAGAGGAGAAGAGAGAAGGGAAACAGAGGGAGGGGAAGUAGGGGACAAGAGAAGAAGAAAAUUCCUAGAGUUACCAAAAAUGUGGUAUUUUUGUUCACAUUUGACACAUCAAUGGUUUCAGUAAAUGUACUUGCUAAGAACAACCAAACCUCAUUUGAAGCUAUCAUUAAGAUGAAGGAAUCAGAGCUCUUGAAGGCAAGGCCCAGGUCCCCAGGGGCCCUCCCUAACCCCCACCAGGGGCUCUGCAGCUCUUAGCCACUGGGGGAAUGGCAGUCAAAGCUCAGUUCUUGUCCCCACUGCCUCCCGCUUCCCUGCUCCUCCUGCUACUUGAGGGCAGAGUUUUGUACUCCACAGUGGGAGAAGCUAGGGUGCAGAUGCUCUGGUCCUUUGACGCCUGACCCUAAGUUCCCACCUGGAAAAUGCAAGGUAGAGAAUCUUAAAUAUCAGGACUAUCUUUUGAUAGCUUGCAAAUUGUUUUCUUUCCCCUCCUCACUCUGACAGAUGGUAGACUGUCUGAGGUACCUCAAAGUGUCUUUCACUUAAAACAGUGAGAAAUCAUUGAAAGUGAAAAGUGACAAAGACAAGUUCCAAUUAACCUAACCACCUAAUCCUUCUGGAGCCUGGGGAAAGUAGAGCCUCAAGCCCAGGGAUUUCUCUACUAGUUGUGUUUGUAAGAGUGGCUUAGCAUCUCUCAGCUGAGGUUCCCUCAUCUGUAAGUGGAAAUGAUGCUUACACCAUAAGGUCAAUAUAAGGAGUAAGUGACAUUUUAUGUAAAAGGGUGAUUUGAAAAUUAGAGGGGCUUGUGUUUUGUUUGUACCCUUUGAUUUUUCCCUUCUCCAAUGCCCCCUAUUUUAGUCCUCUUUCUACAAAUAUUAGCAACAUAAUGUAUAUGCUUCCAGGCUUUUCUUCAAGGAGUUGCCCAUAGAAAAGAUAUCUAUGUGUGUAUAUGUUUUUAUAUGGCUUAAACAAUUUUUUAUGUCAGUAUAUUUAGGUCCACCUCAUUUUAGAAAACUGCAGCAUAUUUUCCACAAAAACUGUGUACAAGAUCCUGCUGUAUAGCACAGGGAAGUAUAUCUAGUUACUUGUGAUGGAACAUGAUGGAGGAUAAUGUGAGAAAAAGAAUAUAUAUGUAUAUAUAUAUAUACACACACACAUAUAUGUAUGUAUCACUGGGUACUUGGUGUACAACAGAAAUUGACAGAACAAUGUAAAUCACCUAUAAUAGAAAAAAUAAAAAUCCUUUAAAAAAAAGGUGUACAAUUAUCUAUUUAGCUAUUCCUGUUUUUAAUGAAUAUUUCUAUUAUUUUGAAUUUCUCACUGGUUUUUCUUCUUGCUUUUUAGGGCCGUACCCACUACAUAUGAAAGUUCCCAAACUCGGGGUCAAAUUGGAGCUACAGCCACCGGCUUACACCACAGCUCACAGCAACGUGGUAUCUUUAACCCACUGAGCUAGGCCAGGGAUCGAACCCACAUCCUCAUGGAUACUAGUCAUUUCCACUGAGCCACAACAGGAACUCCCUUAAUUUCUCACUGUUAAAAAUAACAUUACAUGAAGAAGAUCUUUGUAGGUGCUUCCUUUGGUACAUGGUUUAAGUCUCUCUCUGGGGCAGCUAUUAACAAUAGAACUUCAGGGUGAUGGGUUAUACAAAGUGACUCUUAAGUGGCUGUACUCACACCCAGCUGUGCAUGACUAUAAUUUGAAUUUCCUCCAUUAAAUUGAGGUUAAGCAUCAAUUUAUAUAAAUCUUGACCACUUUUAUUAUUUCUUCUGUGAAUUCCCGGUUUAGACCUUGGUCCAUUUUCAAUAGUAUAUUUUUUUUCUUUCUUUAAAUGAUGUGUUAAUUCUAAUCAUUUGCGUUUUGUUGUUGUUGCUUGUCAAAACCAGAGUUCUAUAGAGACCACUGUUAUCAUUACUCAACACUGAUUCUUCUCAAAGACAGAGAUGCAUUUUGUUUACCUUUGUAACUUCAGCAUAAAGCUAGAACUGCCCUCCAUGAGUGUUAAUGGACUGAAUUAUUGAAAAAGCCAUUUCUGGAGUUUCCGCUGUGCCACAGCAGGAUCAGCAGCAGUGCCAGGAUGCAGGUUUGAUCCCUAACCCAGCACAGUGGGCUAAAAGACACAGCGUUGCCAGAGCUGAUGUAGGCAACAGAUCUGAUGAGAUCACUGCCCUGGAAACUCCACAUGCCAUAGGGCAGCCAAAAAAGGAAAAAAAGAAACAGCCAUUUCUGUCUUUCGGAAAUCAUACAAGUUUUGACAGAAAUCAUCUAAAACAGGACUUGGUUAAGCAGGUUUUGAAGUGCAAAAAGGUCAGACAAGAACCCAAGGUCACACAAAGACAUACUCACUGCAGGAAGCAGCUAUCACCUGGGGGCUGGGGUUAGUGGAACCUGGAGCCAAAGAGGGGCUAGGCUGGUGCUGGUGUCUCUAAAGUGGGUGCCAGGGAAGGAAACCUGGUAACUGGAACUUCAGGCUUCUGGAAUCAACCAUGGCUGCCAAGGUGAAGACUCUGCUGCGGAGACCAUAAGCACUGUAAGAAAGAGCAAGUGCCUUCUCCCCCUCCUGCCCUCCAGCACCCCCUAUGGAAGGACUGAGUAUAGCAGAGGUUGAGCUAAUGGUUUAACUGAAACAUUUCUAAUAAAUCAGGGUAUUUUGCCUAUGGGUGAAGAUGCCAAAGGCUACUCUUUGAUGACUUCCUCCCUCUUUUUACAUUGCCUGAAAAUUAUCAGAGGAAAUGGGAGUGUGGCACGUGAGUAUCAGGGGUCUGAGAUGCUUGGAGCCCUGCCUGUUGGAGGUCACCCCCAUCCAUCCCAGCCUGGCCUUUCUGAGUGGACCUGGCAGAGCACUCCUGCCACUGGCAGCAGGGAAUCACAUGCACAUCCACACCAAGAAAUAUGCUAUCACACUACUGGCCAGGGGCAGGAGAAAUUGGAGAGCACAUAGUCUGUGGCUCAUACCUCAUACCUGGGAUGCUAGAGAGAAGGUGCAGAGAGGUCCUCUACGGCUCUAGGAGGCAGGAGUGCCUGGCACAUCCUGCUGUGAUUUGGGACAAACACCCCACAUUUGCCUCAGUGGAUUUAAUGACAAGGAGAAACAGAGUACUUCCUUAUUCAAAGACACACUGAUUGGGGAGUUCCUGUCGUGACGCAGCAGUCACAAAUCCGACUAGAACCAUGAGUUUGUGGCCUUGCUCCAUGGGUUAAGGAUCCAGCACUGCCGUGAGCUGUGUUGUAGGUCGAAAACUAGGCUCAGAUCUGGUGUGACUGUGGUAUAGGCCAGCAGCUUCAGCUCCAGUUAGACCCCUAUCCUGGGAACCUUCACAUGAUGCAGGUGCAGCCCUAAAAACCAAAAAAAAAAAAGAAAAGAAAUAUUCAUUAUGCUGAGGUAUGAAGACUUUCCUGUUAGUAAGACUGAUUAACUCCCUGACCCAAAUUGAUAUGAUUUGUUUGUGUUUUUCUUUUUAAGCCGGAAUCUAAAUGAAGCUUAUUUUUUGCAUGCCUCUUGAGCUGAUGUUGAAGAGUUAUGACCUAUCUAUCACAUUGCUCCAGACAGGUAGAUGGCAUUGCCACAUGGCUCAGGAGAGGAUAAACUUCUACUACUUCACCAAGAGUAACCAUCUGCAGACACUCAGCUCUGAUUCCCCCAGGAGAAAGGCAAGAGUAGAUGGAGUAGAGGUUAUACUAAUGUCUUAUCUUAGCUGCCAUGCCUUUCCAAAUGCUUUGUCUCUCUUGCUCAUGCCAAGGCAAGAGGCACCCUUCAGCACUGACAUCGGGAGAAUCCACCUGGGGGCUACAGUGAAGGACAGUGCUGACUCCUGUUCCCACUCCAGUUCUCUUUUCAACAUGCCGUUUCCCCUCAGACCACCUGGGAAUAGAAUAUGCUUUCCUGCUGGCCCCUGGCUACCUAGCACCCCUACCUCCAACACCAGCCCCACCUUAAGAUAAGGUCUUCUUCCUGGGCAGAGUUUUAUGCUCCAGACCAUUCCCUCACUCCCAAUGAACUGUAACCAGUUUCCUAUCUCAGUCUACUAGGGCUCUGCUCUCUGUUUCCCAAAGGCUUGACUCGAAAGGCAGGGGAGACAGGAGGCACUGCAACUCCAUGCACAACAAAAAUCAGAGGUGGAGCCCUUCUUUAGAUCAUGGUGAACGCCACCAAAUUCUCUGGACCUACAUAACAAGCCAGCACUGUGAUUACUCCCUAAGUGCAGACAGUGAGUGGAUCACUGAUGGGCAUUGUGCUAUAGCAGCUGGGAGAGGCAGCACCAGGAAUACCUGCGGGCACUAUCAAUCACAAUGGAUGCAAACAAGAAUCAGAGUAC